UGUAGCUGGCUCAUUGAUGGUUCACUUCUCAGCUUCUUUGGAAGUUGCUCCUUGGUUGGGGUAUUCGGGUAUGAAUCGCAUUCACCCCCCUUUUUUACACCGCAAGCAUAUGAGUGAGUUUCAACAAUGCCUCUUUAAAUAUGGCCUCAAUGCCUCUCUUUUUAUCUGUCAUGUCCUGAUUACACGCUACUAGCUAUGAAGACGUUGGCAGGCUAAUUUAACUUCACACGCUGACACUUUUCGAUAGCUAGCUUGUUCGUUGGAAAUAGUCAAAAAUAUAUGUCAAUGGUUUGAUUAAUUACAAAAUGAUUCAUUAUAUGGUUAGAUAUCAUUUUUUGUGAGGAAAAAACAAAUAAAUUGCAACUGCAGUCUAAAACUAUAAACUUUGUGAGAAAACCCCCAAAUUGUUCCUCUACUAGAAAUGUUACACCCUCUCAUGUCGCAAUCUUGACCAUGUCACUGAUUUCAUGGAGCUCUCCUGCGCAUCAUUUACCUAACAAAAUCCCGCAAACGUGAAAGUGCCAGAAAUAAACAUCGCGAGAUUGUACAUAUGUGCGUGUCAGAGAUUUGAAAGCAGACGCUUUCAUCCAAAACGAUGUACAGUAAUCAGUACAUACAUUUUACGUUUGGGUGGCCCAGGGAAAUUGUUACAGAUUCACAAUACCGAGCGUGUCUCAACCCGUACUGCGCUUUUAUCUGCCUAAAGGUAUCUUCAAGCACGACUGGAUAGGCCUUUUGGAUACGCUUGUAAGGCUCAAGACAUAAAGUCUUCUGAAAGCUGUGUAGCAAUCAUUCCAUUGCUGACCCAUAGGAUGGUAAUCAUGUACACGAUUGGCUUAAUCUAGAAUCAUGGAUACCUUUCAUGUGAGUACAUGUAACAGUAUAACUUUAGUACGUCCCCUCGCCCCGACCUAGGGUGCGAACCAGGGACCCUCUGCACACAUCAACUGACACCCACAAAGCGUCGUUACCCAUCGCUCCACAAAAGCCGCGGCCCUUGCAGAGCAAGGGGCAACACUACUUCUAGGUUUCAGAGCAAGUGACGUAACUGAUUGAAACGCUACUAGCGCGUACCCGCUAACUAGCUAGCCAUUUCACAUCCGUUACAUACACACGCCAUAUAUUUUUUUUAUUUUAUUUUUUUUAACAUAUCUCAGAAGGAAGAUACCUCAAUAUCUGGAAGCACUGUCUCAUGCACAAUUGUUAAUGCUAUCUCUGAAAUGUCUAACAAAAUGUUGACUUGAUCGUUUC